rnacentral:rRNA from 1 species
AUUGAACGCUGGCGGCAGGCCUAACACAUGCAAGUCGAGCGGAUGAAGGGAGCUUGCUCCUGGAUUCAGCGGCGGACGGGUGAGUAAUGCCUAGGAAUCUGCCUGGUAGUGGGGGAUAACGUCCGGAAACGGGCGCUAAUACCGCAUACGUCCUGAGGGAGAAAGUGGGGGAUCUUCGGACCUCACGCUAUCAGAUGAGCCUAGGUCGGGUUAGCUAGUUGGUGGGGUAAAGGCCUACCAAGGCGACGAUCCGUAACUGGUCUGAGAGGAUGAUCAGUCACACUGGAACUGAGACACGGUCCAGACUCCUACGGGAGGCAGCAGUGGGGAAUAUUGGACAAUGGGCGAAAGCCUGAUCCAGCCAUGCCGCGUGUGUGAAGAAGGUCUUCGGAUUGUAAAGCACUUUAAGUUGGGAGGAAGGGCAGUAAGUUAAUACCUUGCUGUUUUGACGUUACCAACAGAAUAAGCACCGGCUAACUUCGU